UCAGGUCGACGUGUUUUACAGAACAAAUAAAGGAAGGAACUUCUGGGUAAUAGUUUUUCCGUACAUACACCGGGGAUCAUUAGCUGUUCGCGGUCAACGUCUCUGGUCUCCCCUCGCACUCGGUUUCAAAGCCGCAGAAACUCGUCUAUUCCCGUGUCGACGAUUUUCCACGGUUCUGGUGUGCUUUUUCGUCCCUAUAUGUGUCGACGGGUCGAUGAACGGCACACGGAUACGGCCCUGGCCAGCCCGCAAACAGCAUUUUUCCACGGCGACUCGGUUUACGCUCGCGGUUAAAAAGAAUCCGCUCCGUGUUGGUCGCGCGUCGCCACCCAAGUACCAACAGAAGAAAUAGCAGAGACUAAAGACGGGCAGAACGAGCAAGGGAGCCGCUAUAGCGGGCAAAAAUCAAGAGAUACCGAGCCAAGUUCCGGGAAACGGUUAUAUCGUAUCGAUCGUGACACCUUAGCUGAUAACGAGGAACGUGUCGUAACUAGAAACGUGCAAAUAUCCUCUGCGAUAAAAAUCAAAAUCGAGUAUGUCAUAAUUGAAGACAUGAGAAUAUUUUUUACGAUUACACAACCACAACUUGAUGGCAAGGAACGUGUGAUAACAACAGACGCUGAAACAUGUCCCAUGAUGAAAAAUGUAAGUUAAUCAAGCGAAUUCGAUAUCUUAAGAUUACACAAAACUCAUUAAGCUUAUCUGGUUUUCCUUUUUUACAGAGGGUAGUUGACGAUGAUAACGAAAGACGCAUGGUAAUCAUUUUUGUACAAUUAAAUCCGCAAAGAUCGCCGGUUACAGUCAAUAGCAUAGAUAUUUUUUGGCAUAAAAUUAACUAGUUUACAGAUACUUGUUCGUUUGUUCGAACUUGUUUAUCCUCAUCUAAUUUGCAUUUUGUGAUAAGGAAUCACUGGAUGUAUUUUAUUCUUUGCAGCUUUUUCUCGAGUACAAGUCUCGAGUCAGCUGAUUGGCAGAAUCGCUAAUUAUUCUUUAAAAUAGACGAGGAUCUUUGGAAUUCCGAUUAAUCCAUGACCUCGGUUACCAGAAACGAGCUUCGACGUGCUACAAUAAACUUCAAUAUUAGAACUACCAGAAUUAUGAAAAUGUCCAAUCGAUAGUUUUUCAUAGGAAUUUUAUAAAUAUACAGCGGUAAAUUUUUGAGAAUUUUAUACGAGAUAUUGACUUAUCUAUAUCUUACAUAUCUUUUCAAAAUGUUAUACCUUUAAAAAGAUACGUAUUUAGGGAUUUUUUGCGACGUUUUAUAAAAUCUGCAGAUGAAAUGUUAUUCUUCAUUUUACAUUAUAAUAUCUCUCUACAUAUACUUCUCAUUUUAAUUCUUUUACACUGUCAGUCAUAAGUAUUAGGACAUGCUUUUAGUACAAAUUGAAUAUA